AGUGAACGCUGGCGGUAGGCCUAACACAUGCAAGUCGAACGGCAGCACAGUAAGAGCUUGCUCUUACGGGUGGCGAGUGGCGGACGGGUGAGGAAUACAUCGGAAUCUACUUUUUCGUGGGGGAUAACGUAGGGAAACUUACGCUAAUACCGCAUACGACCUACGGGUGAAAGCAGGGGAUCUUCGGCCCUUGCGCGAUUGUAUGAGCCGAUGUCGGAUUAGCUAGUUGGCGGGGUAAAGGCCCACCAAGGCGACGAUCCGUAGCUGGUCUGAGAGGAUGAUCAGCCACACUGGAACUGAGACACGGUCCAGACUCCUACGGGAGGCAGCAGUGGGGAAUAUUGGACAAUGGGCGCAAGCCUGAUCCAGCCAUACCGCGUGGGUGAAGAAGGCCUUCGGGUUGUAAAGCCCUUUUGUUGGGAAAGAAAAGCAGCAGGUUAAUACCCCGCUGUUCUGACGGUACCCAAAGAAUAAGCACCGGCUAACUUCGUG
rnacentral:rRNA from 1 species